rnacentral:misc_RNA from 1 species
UUUCCGUAGGUGAACCUGCGGAAGGAUCAUUAUCGUACAACAUGUGAGGGGCAAGCGAGGGCUUUCGCUGACCCAAAAGUCGUGCACGGCCGAGUGUGUCGUCUUGCAUAAUAAUCCAUCUCACCCUUUGUGCAUGACCGCGUGGGUACCCUUCGGGAUCAUGUCGGAGUGGGGCCCGCGUUUUCACACAAACCCCCCUUAUAAAAGUGUAGAAUGACCACAUUUAUGCAAUCAAUACAACUUUCAACAACGGAUCUCUUGGCUCUC